rnacentral:rRNA from 1 species
CGUAGCGUCUCAGACGAGACAUUACUGAAUCGAAAGUUCAUCUUGUUCUGAUCCUGAGCACCUUAUGUAGUCCCAAAGCCUUCACGGGCGGCGGUUGUCUACGUCUACCUCACACCUUAGGGUAUGUUAACGAAUGUAAUCAUGGUCUUGACAGACCCUAAAAAGUUAAUACAACUUUCGACAACGGAUCUCUUGGCUCUCGCAUCGAUGAAGAACGCAUCGAAAUGCGAUAAGUAAUGUGAAUUGCAAAAUUCAGUGAAUCAUCGAAUCUUUGAACGCACCUUGCGCCCUUUGGUAUUCCGAGGGGCAUGCCUGUUUGAGUGUCAUUAAAUACCAUCAACCCUCUUUUGACUUCGGUCUCGAGAGUGGCUUGGAAGUGGAGGUCUGCUGGAGCCUAACGGAGCCAGCUCCUCUUAAAUGCAUUAGCGGAUUUCCCUUGCGGGAUCGCGUCUCCGAUGUGAUAAUUUCUACGUCGUUGACCAUCUCGGGGCUGACCUAGUCAGUUUCAAUAGGAGUCUGCUUCUAACCGUCUCUUGACCGAGACUAGCGACUUGUGCGCUAACUUUUGACUUGACCUCAAAUCAGGUAGGACUACCCGCUGAACUUAAGCAUAUCAAUAAGCGGGACGAGAAUU